UGUAAAAGUGUAUCAUGAUAUUAUUACUCUUAUUAUUGCCAGUAGUAAUAUCCUCACUUGUGUUUUCAGUUCUUUCCUAUUCUUAGGUGCUUGACUUUCCGGUCAUUGUAUGUGUCUGUUUCCAGACAUAGAGGUAUGAAACAGUGAACAUGGUAAUUUAUUGCUUUGGGCAACUGGAGAAAGAUGAAAAUACGCUCCAUUCAUAAAUAAACUGUUAUGGUGCAAAUUCCACCUCGUUGAAAAACUAUGGUGACAUCCAAGUUGGAUACCUAACACAAAACAAAGUGGCAUCCAAGUUGGACAUCCUGAUAAGCUACUUGUUUCUUGGUCUUCUUUGGCUGUGAUUUUGAGGGAUCUUGAUUAGGGGAACCGUGAAGUGUUGAGGUGAACUUCGUAAUUCUUUAAUUGGGUACAAGUAACUCUUGGAGAAGUUACUCUGACAUAUACCCAUAGUACUGUCACAACUUUUUUGGACUGCAUAAAGGUCAUUCAAGCAACAAAAGUAGUGUUUAACCAUCUCUAUGAUUUAGUUUCACUUGUCCGUGACAUCAAAAUCAAAGAAAAACUAGUGGAAUAAGGCAUCUCUGUGCACGUUCUGAUGAUUUUGUUAUAGAAAANGGUGAUUUUUUAACUCUAAUUUAUAUAUAUGUGCUCAUAUAGUUUUCUUCUGUGUUUGACAGCAUCUGAUUUUUUAACUCUAAUUUAUAUAUGCGUGCUUUAAAAUGAUAGGCACGAAAAUUAAAAUAAACAAUUUUUAAAUAUAAAAACUAAGAUAAAAUCUGUACAGCUUUUAAUCAAAUGAGUAAUCAAACAUAUUAUUAUUAUUAUUAUUAUUAUUAUUAUUAUUAUUAUUAUUAUUAUUAUAUUACACGUUAUGUGUAACUCUAAAUGUUUAGGUAUCUUUCAUGAUAUAUGGAGUUUUUCAACUUUUGAGUGCUUGGGCAUAUGGUUCUGAAUCUGUAACUCUGUCGAAAAGGAAACACCCUUUUCCUUCAUUUUACCAAGAUGUCCCCCUAUUGAUUGAUGUUACAGGGGAGUGGUUGAAUGCUAAUGCUAUUGAUGUGAGAACGAUGCAGAAGAAACUGGUCUUGGUCCAGUUGAUUCAGAUGCCUACACCAGCCCCUCUCAAAAUCGUAAGUCAACUAUUCACCACAAUUUGGAAAUCAGAUAUAGCUCAUAGUAUAUAAUCAAUCGACACAUAUA